rnacentral:lncRNA from 1 species
CCUUGGUGGCAGUCUGCAACGCAGUUGUCAGACUUGUAUUUGGAGACCCACCACCUAGACACCUAGGAAUUUCCUCUAGGGUUAAAAUCUAUAAAAAUCCACCUUUGUCUGUAGUUUUGUUCAAGAACACCAAAUAACAUUUUGAUGUGUUUCAGGUAAAGAGGGAUGUCUGCACUUAACAAGAAUCUGAUGUUUUAUGGUCAGUAUUGAUCCAUCUUGGAAGAGCUUCAAGAAGAUAUCAUUAGAAUGACCAGAAUCCUCCCAGAUGUAUAAAACUAUUCAUCAAAAUAAAAUCAUUAAUGGAGGUGUUGGGACAUAACUGGCAGAAAUAAAUUAAGCCAGCUAUGUUUACAGUCAACAAAAUCAGUAUUUGUGAAUUCCAUGCAGGCAAAGAACUAAUCACAGUGGUUUUGAUGAUUUUCAUUCUCAAGUGGUGGUGUUGCCUGUUUGGCUUUUAAGGGGGAAAAUAGUUGAGCAAGUCCUUGACAGUGGGACAGCUAGCCAGAUGGGAGCCUGGGGGCCUAAGGAGUGAGACGCCCUUUGCGCGGGAGUGGACAUCUCACCAGUAAGUGGCAGGGGCAUCCUUGCAGACCUGGCUAAGACUCCAGGGAGAAGGCGUUGGUCAGCUCCCCUGAAAAGAAUAAGGAAGUUGCUCCUCCAGGAAAAUCCAGGGCCAGACCUAGAUGAGGAGGGACGAGGGAGGAAGUCCCGGAAGACCUCUCUGCUGUCAUUGACCCCAGUCCUUUGCGGCUCUAAGGUUGCCGCCAAUGGAAUCACCUCCUUAAAACGUCAGUUUCUAGAAGAGCCUCAUUUAAUGCAUGUUACCUGGGAAAGUCGGGUAGCACAUUAACUGUAAGCGCUGAUCCUGAGAGAUCUGGCAGGAAGAUGGGGGUGGAGAAGACUGCUUUGCUGACUCCUCCUUAGGUGAGACUCACCUGGAUGGGCCCCGAUGUAUUAAGCAGCCAGCAGCAGUCACAGCAUGCCGUGUGCCGAGGACAACAAGCAGGAUGCCAACGCUGAUCACUAGAGUGGGAUUCUCUGAAUGCAGCACCGUGGCCACAGACUUUACACAUUUAUCCUCUCUCUCCCCACGGAGGGUGGAAGGGUGAAUAUGUCACAGUAUUCCAAAUCAGUUACGUGGUCUGAAGGACGACAGCCAUCAAAGGCAUCUUGCUCCCGCCCCCUAGUGGCAAAAGGACUUGUAAGUAUCAUGCUCUUUCUCUUCGAAGAGCUGGAGAAAUCAGAGGCUCUGAACCUCAUGGAAGAACGCACAGGCAAACCAGGCAAAAGCUGGAGUUUCAACUGCAGUCAGCCGGCCUUCACUUUAUCUUAUGCUGCCUUUGCCCUCCAGAGAGGUUUUGUUCCCAAAAAAUCUCCGAAAGGUGCCCAGCUAUGACAUCCAGCACUUCAUUUGUUGAUUCGAAGACCUGGGUUAAAAUACCAGCUCUGCCAUUUCAUUCAAGAUUCCCCUGAAUUCACAUUUAUUGGACACUAUGGCACUGUUUGGGUGAUGGAGAUACAGAGAGAAGCACAUGACGUAUGAUUCUUCAGGAGCUGCUGGGCUAGUGCUGGGAUGAUGGCAAACAUAUAAACCCUCGGCAGGGGAGGCAACAUGGGAGCUGUGUCCUUGGUGAUGGCAGGUAGUAAGGAAAGGGCAUUCAAGGGCCUGGUGCCUCCAGAGACGAGGAAGGGAGCCCGGGGCAUAUGGAGGGCCUGGAGAGGCUCAGGUCAGAGCUAAGACCAGAGGUACAGUGAGGCUAUGGUGUGGAAGGGACUUGAACACCAACCUAGGGGGAUUUGACUUGAUGCAGAAGGCAACUGGGAGCCACAUUGUUUCUAAGUCAGGGGAUGAACAUGCUCCGAUUGCUAUGGAAGAAUUUUCCAAGCAGCGCUAUUGAAAAGAGUGAUGGAGCCUGGAUGCAGGGAGACAUGGCAUCUGGAGGCUGCUGCAGCCCUUGGUGUGUAUACAGCUGGCGCUCACCUCUUCCCCUUCUUUGUUUCCUCCUCCCUUUCCUGAUUUUCCUCUAUCUCUUUCCUCUUCUUUACCUACUGCCCUCACUUUCUUCAUCAGUUACUUUCUCCUCCAUCCUUUCUUCCUGAAAGGGCCAGAAGCUCUAAUUGUGGACAGGCUAGAACAGAUCCUUUUGCCUCCUUUAGUAUUUCUACUUCGAGUAAAAAUGUCUGAUGAGACAGUG